rnacentral:rRNA from 1 species
UCAGACGAUGCGUCAUGCAUAUCAAUAAGCGGAGGAAAAGAAACUAACAAGGAUUCCCUUAGUAACGGCGAGUGAAGCGGGAAGAGCUCAAAUUUGAAAUCUUAAAGGGUUUCCCUUUACGAAUUGUAGUUUAAAGAAGUGUUUUCUGUUAGAGUUUCGGUAAAAGUUCUUUGGAAUAGGACAUCAUAGAGGGUGAGAAUCCCGUAUUUGACCGUUAUUUCUAGCUUUGUGAUACACUUUCAAAGAGUCGGAUUGCUUGGGAAUGCAGUCCAAAAUGGGUGGUAAAUUUCAUCUAAAGCUAAAUAUUGGCGAGAGACCGAUAGCGAACAAGUACCGUGAGGGAAAGAUGAAAAGAACUUUGAAAAGAGAGUUAAACAGUACGUGAAAUUGUCAAAAGGGAAGCGUUUGACACCAGUGUUGUUUACUCGAAAAUCAAUUAAAAGCAUGAUUUUGAUAAGUUAGUAUUGACUUUAUCAGCUUCUGCUGCACUCUUUUCUUGUCUUUUUUUAAUGCACUUUUCGUUUAACAAGUCAACAUCAAUUUCUUUUGUUGUAAAAGGGUCAUUGGAAGGUGGCUUUCUUUUCGGAGAAAGUGUUUAUAGCCUUUGGCCUCUGCAAUCGGAGAGAUUGAGGUCUGCAGCGUAGAUCCUUCGGGGUUAGAUACAUUUGUGCUAAGUUAUAGCCUUUCAUAGACAACUUGUUGACUAUGAUCAGUCAUGUAGCUUACUCGCUUAUGCUAUUUUACCUACGCUUAGGAUGUUGAUCUACAGAGCGAGAGU